rnacentral:rRNA from 1 species
UUAAAAUUUUAUAAAAAUAAUUUAUUUAUUUAAUGUUUUAGUAUUUAUUAAAAAAAAAUUUUUAAAUUUAUAGUUUAUUAGUAUUGUGAAAGAAUUAUUUUAAACUUUAAAAAGAAUAAUAUUUUUAGUACCUUUUGUAUCAGGGUUGAUUUAAAUUUUAAAUUUAUUUUUAAUUCUCAAAAAUUAUAGAGUUAAUUUUAUUAUUAAAUUAUUGUGUAAUAAAUAUUUAAAAAAUAAUAUUAGUUUUAAAAUUUAAUUCGUUAUAAUAUAUUUAGUUAUUUAAGAUUUAAAAUUAAUUUAAAAUUUUAAAAGUUAAAUUAAUUUAGUUAAUUUAUAUUUUAAUUUUAGAUUGUUUUAGGGAUAAGCUUGAAAUUUUUAUAUAAUAAAUAUUUUAAUUUAAAAUAAUUUAUAGAAAUAGAAAUUUUUAUUAAAGUUUGUAAAAAUUUAUUAUUUUUGUUUAUCAUUUUUAUUAAUAUUUAUUUAUUUUAAAUAUUAAAUUUUAUUAAUAAAUUAUUUAUUUAUAGUAAUAAUGAUUAAAUUAGUAUAAUAUAAAUAUAUAAAUUAUGAAUUCGGCAAUAAUUAUUUUCAUCUGUUUAUCAAAAACAUUGUAUUAAGUUUAAUUUAAUAUAGGAUCUGCUCAAUGAUUUAUUAAAUAGCUGCAGUAUUUUGACUGUGCAAAGGUAGCAUAAUAAUUAGUCUUUUAAUUGAGGACUAGAAUGAAAGAUUUGAUGAGAAAUAAACUUUAUUAUUUAUAUAAUUAAAAUUUUAUUUUUAAGUAAAAAAGCUUAAAUAAUUUAAAGGGCCGAUAAGACCCUAUAAAACUUUAUAACUAUUAUAUAUUUAAUUUUUUUGGUUUAUAAAUAWUUAAAUUUUAGUAUUUAUUUUAUUGGGGUGAUAAAAAAAAAUUAACUUUUUUUAAAAUUUAACAUUAAUUAAUGAUUUAUUGAAUUAAAAUUUUUAAUUAAAGGAAAAAGUUACUUUAGGGAUAACAGCGUAAUUAAUUUUUUAAGCUCAAAUUUGAAAAUUAGUUUGCGACCUCGAUGUUGAAUUAAGAUUAGGCUUAGGUGCAAAAUUUUAAGUUUUGGGUCUGUUCGACCUUUAAAUUCUUACAUGAUUAGAGUUCAAACC